rnacentral:rRNA from 1 species
GCCAACGGCCAUACCACGUUGAAUACACCGGUUCUCGUCCGAUCACACCGAAGUUAAGCAACGUCGGGUGUGGUCAGUACUUGGAUGGGUGACCGCUUGGGAACACCACAUGCUGUUGGCA